rnacentral:rRNA from 1 species
CCUACGGGAGGCAGCAGUGGGGAAUAUUGCACAAUGGGGGAAACCCUGAUGCAGCGACGCCGCGUGAGUGAAGAAGUACUUCGGUAUGUAAAGCUCUAUCAGCAGGGAAGAAAAUGACGGUAUCUGUUAAAGAAGCCCCGGCUAACUACGUGCCAGCAGCCGCGGUAAUACGUAGGGGGCAAGCGUUAUCCGGAGUUACUGGGUGAAAAGGGAGCGUAGACGGUGGAGCGAGUCAGAAGUGAAAGCCCGGGGCUUAACUCCGGGACUGCUUUUGAGACUGGGUGGCUGGAGUGCAGGAGAGGUAAGCGGAAUUCCUGGUGUAGCGGUGAAAUGCGUAGAUAUCAGGAGGAACACCAGUGGCGAAGGCGGCUUACUGGACUGUAACUGACGUUGAGGCUCGAAAGCGUGGGGAGCAAACAGGAUUAGAUACCCUUGUAGUC